rnacentral:rRNA from 1 species
AUUGAACGCUGGCGGCAUGCCUUACACAUGCAAGUCGAACGGCAGCACGGGGGCAACCCUGGUGGCGAGUGGCGAACGGGUGAGUAAUGCAUCGGAACGUGCCCAGUAGUGGGGGAUAACUAGUCGAAAGAUUAGCUAAUACCGCAUACGACCUACGGGUGAAAGCGGGGGACCUUUACCGCCUCGCGCUAUCGGAGCGGCCGAUGUCUGAUUAGCUAGUUGGCGGGGAAAAGCCCACCAAGGCGACGAUCAGUAGCUGGUCUGAGAGGACGACCAGCCACACUGGGACUGAGACACGGCCCAGACUCCUACGGGAGGCAGCAGUGGGGUAAUUUUGGACAAUGGGCGCAAGCCUGAUCCAGCCAUGCCGCGUGCGGGAAGAAGGCC